CCUUACCCACCUUUGACAUGUACGGAAUCCUUUAGAGAUAGAGGAGUGCUCGAAAGAGAGCCGUAACACAGGUGCUGCAUGGCUGUCGUCAGCUCGUGUCGUGAGAUGUUGGGUUAAGUCCCGCAACGAGCGCAACCCUUGUCAUUAGUUGCUACAUUCAGUUGGGCACUCUAAUGAGACUGCCGGUGACAACCGGAGGAAGGUGGGGAUGACGUCAAGUCCUCAUCGGCCCUUAUAGGGUGGGCUACACACGUCAUACAAUGGAUGGUAACGAAAGGGUCGCCAACCCGCGAGGGGGAGCCAAUCCCAUAAAGCCAUUCGUAGUCCGGAUCGCAGUCUGCAACUCGACUGCGUGAAGUCGGAAUCGCUAGUAAUCGUGGAUCAGAAUGUCACGGUGAAUACGUUCCCGGGUCUU
rnacentral:rRNA from 1 species